rnacentral:rRNA from 1 species
GUGAGGAAUAUUGCGCAAUGGACGAAAGUCUGACGCAGCCAUGCCGCGUGAAGGAUUGACGGCCCUAUGGGUUGUAAACUUCUUUUGUAUAGGAAUAAACCCUCGUUCGUGAACGAGACUGAAGGUACUAUAAGAAUAAGCACCGGCUAACUCCGUGCCAGCAGCCGCGGUAAUACGGAGGGUGCAAGCGUUAUCCGGAUUUAUUGGGUUUAAAGGGUCCGUAGGCGGAUCGUUAAGUCAGUGGUGAAAUCCUACCGCUCAACGGUAGAACUGCCAUUGAUACUGGCGAUCUUGAGUAUGUAUGAAGUUGGCGGAAUGUGUGGUGUAGCGGUGAAAUGCUUAGAUAUCACACAGAACACCGAUUGCGAAGGCAGCUGACUAAUACACAACUGACGCUGAGGGACGAAAGUGUGGGGAUCAAACAGGAUUAGAAACCCGGGUAGUCC